rnacentral:rRNA from 1 species
GGACUACCCGGGUUUCUAAUCCUGUUUGCUCCCCACGCUUUCGUGUCUGAGUGUCAGUGCUGGUCCAGAUAGCCGCCUUCGCCACUGGUGUUCCUCCCGAUCUCUACGCAUUUCACCGCUACACCGGGAAUUCCACUAUCCUCUACCGCACUCUAGCUUGCCAGUCUCCACUGCCAUUCCCAGGUUGAGCCCGGGGCUUUCACAGCAGACUUAACAAACCACCUGCACACGCUUUACGCCCAGUAAUUCCGAGUAACGCUUGCACCCUUCGUAUUACCGCGGCUGCUGGCAC